AACGCAGGCCGCCUUAUCGCUCCCGUGUAAAUGCAGGAGAGGAAAGUCCGGACACUAAAGGGAAGCAUAGCGGCUAACGGCCGUCGUUCUGCCUUGGCAGAAUAGGACUAGUGCAACAGAAAGAAUGUACAGGUAAUGCUGUAGUGAAAUCAUGUAAACUCUAUGCGGUGAAAUGUCACGUAAACCUACGCUUGAGGGUUCCCGCCCGAUGUAGGAGGGUAGGCAGAUGGAUCCCACUAGUAAUGGUGGGGCCAGAUAAAUGAUAGGGGUCGCGUCAUUAGGCGAGAUACAGAAUCCGGCUUAUAGGCCUGCUUUUUUU
rnacentral:RNase_P_RNA from 1 species